AGGAUUGUGUCAUGCAUCAGGAAUAUCGUGCCAUCUCAACAAGUAAAAGUGCACCAGAAACAGGUGCAGCGACUUAUCUACAUGAAAGUCAAUAUAAAUUCAGUGGACAUUUAAAGAUCAAAUGCAUAAGCAAGCAUGGAAAGAGAAAGCGUUGGAAAGAUCAAUAUGUUGUCAUCUCAGAAGGGAAUUUAUAUGUGUAUUCAGAUGUGAGUGCAAAGACCUUAAAAAUAUCUUACCCCAUAUGCAAUUUUGGAAGG